ensembl:lncRNA
GAAAAACUAAAGAAAGGAGAGAAUGCAUAUUUAUUGAAAAAUGAACAAAAACAAGCAAGCGAACAGAAAAAAAACAUGCAACUCCAAGUCCGCCUUAAGCUUAGGAUGUCCACCUCCAACUCACAGGCUGGAACAAUACUAGGAAAGCAUCACAUGGCAGCCUUCAUGACCCCACUCUUUCCAGCAGCUGAGCUAGCAGAGGGGUCCCCUUGUACUGUGGCAAGCAGAGCUUGAUGUGACCAAGGGUGGGCAGACAUAGGUUCAAUAGCUUUGUCACUUUCUUCAGUAAGGUAUUUAGUUCCAGUAAUCUUCUCUAAUAGGUCAGCUGAGCACCGACAGGAUGCAGGGAUGCUCUUGCUGCAGGUUUUGUAAUGGCAGUAAGCAUUCAAACCCUGCUGGUACUCACCUCCAAGUGACAAAGUGAUCCAAGGAACUGAGCAGCACACCAGUGUAUUGAUUUCAAGCUGAAGUAUCUCCAUUGCUCCUUCAGCUCCUGAGGCUUUUUGUGAAGUCUUCCAUUCAGAUAAUGAAGAACUGUAACCCUCCUGAGCUUAAAAAACCUGAUGAUUUCAUGGUAUGAGUCAGAUCAAGCUUGAGGCUGAGCCUUGCUCUUCCAACUUCAUUAUUGCUAUAUAUUUUGGUGUGAGUGUAAACCAUCUGAUUUUCAGCUAUGUUAUUUUCCAGGUGGAAUCAAUGCAGGCUCUAUCCUGAUUAGCAGAACAAGGGUCAGCACUUCUGAUGAGAAUGAAGUAAACAGACUUGCCCUUUUCUUUUGAAAAAUGAAAGCAAGGCAGAUUUGCCUUUAGAAAUGAGGGUUAUAUGUCUGUAGUAACUUCUUGUCCUGAGAUUGCUCUUUUUUGUUUUAUUAUUAUUUUUUUUAACAUAAAGCAUCAUUGCUUCUUGGUCCAUAGUAUUGAAAAGAUAAGAGGAUCACUGGAUAAGACUUGGAUGGUUCCCUGAAGUCUUCCACCUUGCUUUGCUGUGUACCAUCUGUGUCAAUGUCUUAUCAUGGCACCUCAACAUGCUACUGAUGAGAGGAAUUCUAUUGUCUCAUCCAUGGUUUGAAAACCCUUUGCUUCCACUGGCAAGGCAAUGCCAAUGUCAAGAUGAUUAUCCCACUCAGAUCAGCAGAUUUACUCCUGUAAUUAAUGACUCACAAUGUGAAGAAGCAAAGUAAGAUAAUUCUGGCCCCAAAUAAUUAUUGCCAUUUAUCUGGUUGUUAAAUAUGUAAUUUUCAAUUUCACUUACUUCCUUUCUUACUGCUAGCAUUACCCUAGCAACCAUCUUGCUGCAACAAUUUUCCAUUAUUCUGCUGCCUGUGUUACGAUCACUUGCAGUCGGAUGGGGCCCUAUUAGGCAACAACAUUCACAUCAAAUAAUUUUCACUAACAAGGAACAGAGGCAGUUCAGUUGCCAUCUGCACCAUGCUGGUGGUGCAUCUUUCAUCGUCUUAUCCUCUCUUUUCUGAGUCACAACAACACUGUUAUUAGCUCUGACAAAUAAAGAUGCGGAGGUAUAAUUGCUGGUGAUGGUGGGCAAGAAAAGGAUGCUUUCUACUCUCUCAGAAGUGGCCAUUUUCUGCUUAGAAGAACAAAUUUCCACUUGUACCCCAGGGACUAUUUAAGGCAGAUACAAUGGCUAUCUUUUGUGGCAUAGACCAGCAGGAAUACACCAUUCCCAACAUGAUUAUUGCUUAUCAGAGUUUUAUUAAAGAUUCAGGGAGCUUGGGAUGCUAUAAGAGGGAACCAUUAAACACUGGCAGUAAUUGGGAACCCGGAACCUGACCACUGUUAGCCACCUCAGAGUGGUGAGGCCCAGCACACACCUCCAACAGCACUGGCAUCACAGGGAACAAGACCAAACCAGGCAGCAGAGAUGACAUCUGUCACUUGCUGAGGCUAGAAGAGGUUGUGCUACUGAUGCUAAUAGGAUGGAGACUUAAGCAUUUUUUUUUCUUCACACUGAAAUGCUAUGUUGCUUUCUCCUUCCCUUUCACAUCUGCCUUUUCCUAUUUUUCUGUGCAUUUUUAGGCUCAUCUCUCCACAUGCACUGUAUCUUCCACCAAGCUGCACAGGGGAGGCCUUUGGCUCCUCGCAGCCCCAGGACUGCUUGCAAGCACUUGGGUGUGUUGGGGAAAUGUGGGGGGAUAUUGGUCUCCCUAGAGCUCCAAAAUGAGCCGCCGUGAGCAGGCUGCACCGACUGGCAUGGGGACUGACAUCCUCAGCACACUCCCAGUGCACCAGCGGUGUAGUUUGCCUGGAAAAUCUGUCAGGCAAAAUUUGUUAGGUUUUUCGCAGCUCUGAUUUCUCUAUCCCCGAGAGUGUCUUUGCUAAGAGAAAGCAUUGAUUUUUGCCAUCCAACACAUACACGUAUGAAUAUGAUUCAUUCUACCCCAUUCCUCAGAAUAACUUCUGUGAGUUGUUAUCCCUGCUAAAAUGAGCCUUUUCACAGGUCUGUAUUUCCACCUAGUACACACACAAUAAAAUUACUAGAAGUGAAAUAAACUUUCUUUGACUUGGAGGAAAUUUUAUGUUGCAGAGGACUCUUCUUGAAGAAACAACAGUUAGCUUUAUACUACACUCAUUUAUAAGUAAACUUAGCACCAUAUUUAUUUGGUAUAAAUGUCGGAUCAACAGUUGAACCAAAUGUCCUUUUAAUAGAAUUAUACUGUACUAAAAUGAAAAGUAUCUAUCAAACAUUAGCACCACAACAACUAAAAUUUGAGAUUAAAAAUUGUUUCUUUGUCUGAAGAUUUGAAAGUGGCUACCCAUUCAACUUCGGUUAAUAAUUUAAAGCAAGAGGAUCAUUGCAGUAGAAACUUUAAGCUGUACAUAUUUUAUUAAAUAUUAAAUUGGUAUAAAUAUUAAAUUGACAAACCUGAGUAUAUAAUAAAUGAACAGAGAUUCUUAAAAAUGAAACCAAAUUAGAGGUAAAAUGACGUCCAGCAAAACUUAGAAAGGAAAUACUUUUGGCUGGGGAAGAAAAAGCAACAAAAGUAUAAUUAAAACUGCAUUGUUUGCACCUAUCUGGAGAUAUGUCAGGAUUUUGACAGUACACCAUUCUGUUCUGUUUUCUGUCAUUUUCACUCCUUCACAUUUAAUAAACUACACUAUUGCAAAAAAAGACAAGUGGCUGGCUCUCAACAGGAGACCUGGCUUAUUUUCCAAGGCUGGAUCAACUGGUACUGUGUCUGCUAUAGCAGGUGUUUUUCCAUAUGUAUUUAAAGUCUUUCAGUGAGAGGAAUCUGCAGCCUCUUUAUCCAGAUCUGAUGUCUCAUGAGCGUUACAAUUAGAAACUUUCCUCUACUGUGUAACUUCAAUUUCUGCAUUUUGUCUUUUCUAUACUUUGAUGACAACUUUGACAACAUUUGCUGCCUUCUUUGCAACAGUCCUUCAUGGACUUUGCUAUUUUUGCUAUUUUCAACUAUAGUACAAAUGUGAAUUCACAAGCUUCCUUAUAGACUGCAUUUCUCAGAUUUUUUUUCAUAUUUCUUCAGGCUUUCAUCAUUCAUCUACAUUUUUUCUUGAAGAUACAUGCCCAAAAUGGAAGGGAAUUCCCUUCAGUGGAUGUUAGAACUUCUGAGUAUUAUAGGGUAAUCCAUUUUCUAUUUUACAAGCCAUAUUACAGCAUAACUUGGCUUAUCAUUUGCUUUAGCAAAAGGUAUAAAAUGUUCAUCUUGACUAGCUAUUUUUUCUGAAGAUCUGUUAUCUAUCUACUAGAUGUCCACCCUGCAUUUAUUUACUUCAACUCUGCUGCUUAGUGUUACAGCUGAGCAAUGUUUUCCAUGCUCUAUGAAUGACAUGUGAAAUGGCUGCAAAGAGCAAAGACAACAAGCCACAGCAAAAAAAUGUAACCAGCUGAUUUUUCAACGUUCAUCAAGCCAAACAGCCAAUACUUACCAAGACUCUGCUAGUCAGGUUGGUCUCCAGAAACAUUCAGCAAGCAUUGAUCAGUGUCAAUGGGUGGCAUUUUUUCCUGCAUGGAGGAAUUCAGUGGCACACCCUUGCUUCCGAUGGAUUCCGUCAGUCUGCCCCUCUGCUGCCAUCUGUCACAUGGAAACAACAUGUAAUGGAGUACUGUUAGGAAGGUUCAACCCCUGCUGCCAAACCACCAGCAUCCACCUCUGAUGUCAGGGGCCAACAUAAUAAAACAGGAGGCAUUACUUUCAGAGCAGCAAUUGUAUAAAUCGGACGCUCUUUAACAUUUAUUCAAGUUUAUUAAAAUACUACCAGAAUUUCUUGAAUUUUCUGAGUUGUGGACACCAUGAUAAGUUAAAUGCAGCUCUUCCCACUGCUUCAUAGAGAAACUCAAAUGCUAAUUUCAAGAAGUAAACAUUUUAUCUUUUUAGAUACUGAAAAUCACAGCCCAUCUUAAAAGUUGUUCUAUCUGAGUGAUUUUGAACUUUUUCUCUGGCGCCUCAUCUCACACUGGCUCACAUAAGUCUCACGCUUCCCAGUGUACUGGAAACAAUAAAUUCAAUGUGACGUUGUGAGAAAAUCUGAUAGAAUGAGUAUAGCUUGCCAGCUUGAAAUUCAGAAAUGAAACAAUCAUUUUUCAUCACGGUGCCAUUUGCUUAAGGGAGAUGUUCACACGUAGGAAAACUUUAACUACCAUAAUAUAAUAUAGUAACCUUAAAUAUUCUCUCUGAUGCUUUCUUAGUACUUUUCACUACCAGCAAUAUUUACAUUAGAGAUGCUCUUGAGCUACAAGCAACAGAUUCAGAUUUUACUUUCAUCUGCAAACUCACAAAAAUUCAAACUUAUACCACAGUUCCAAACAGCAUGUGUUGUGGAAAAAUAAAUCCCACUGAGGAAAGAAAAUGUGGUCAAUCUGUAGUCUUUGAUGGGUACAGUUCUGGACUAACAGAUAGCUUAGUGAACUGUAGAAAUAAUUUAUCAUAUCACUUUCAAAUAAUGUUUCUCAGUUUUAGUGCAUCGUUCCACUUAUAUGAAAACUGUAAGAUGUGAAAUACUCCUUAGUUUUUGGUGCAUGCUGAAUAUUUUGAAGAUUCUAAAAUGUAGGCUCCUAGCACUUGGCAGACCCUUAAGCUGAGAAAAACAUGGAAAUAGCAGACUGGUUAACUCAAGCAGAAAUUGCCCUAACGGGAAGACAUCUGAUUCUUCAAGCUUUUAAAAGCAUCUGUCUCAGUGGAUAGCUCCAAGACAGACUCUCUGCGAGUGCCACAGGACAGUUCAGAGGAACAGAGUGAUCUGAAAACCACUAAAUGGGAGGGAAAGAUAAAAACAUAUUGUCAGGAAGAUAUAUAUUCAUUACACGAGUUCGGUUGAUGCCAAGAUUUCCUUCAAAAGAAGGCAGAAAUACAAGUAUGCAGUUCACGUGUAAAUGAAGAGAAAACAUUUCAGGUUGAUGAAGAUGACUGGAAGUGAGACUGCCUGAAAUCAGUGAGAGUUAAGGAAAAUAGGGAAAUCCUACUGAAUAUUUUUAUCUGCAGUAAAGAGAUUUGCUGCAAUAACUACGGCGGAAAAGUACAGCUUCUUCUUCUAGUUAGAUUAUCAAGAGCACCAGUAAAAGCUUGGGUUUUGUUGUUCACAGGGAUAAGUCUAUUGUGUUCAGGGGAAAGAAAUCUGCAAGGAAACAUCAUCUUCUACCCCACAAACAUGUGAGGUGAAAUAGAGAUGCUGAUAGAGUCCUUCACAUUCAGCUCUACUCCAGAGCAGUAAAAAGCAGCAGGGUGUAUGCUCUUGCGGGUUUUGUUUUUUUAAAAUGCUUUCUCCAGAAAACACCACACACUGCAGCACAGGCAAUGCAUGUGGAGUAUGGCUCUUAAACCUGCACUGGGUGCACACUGGUAUUUACUACUCUCAUGUUACUACUGCAUUUUCAUACGUUCUAUAGAAGCACUCCAACACUGUGCCUCCCUCUGGCCUUUUUGCCUUCUUUAAAAACCACUUGCAGAGGACACCAGUUGCUGCUAAGCGGUGUACUUUUGGAAACUUCCAUUUCAGUUCCAUUUCUGAAGUGACGGCAAAAAGGCACAGUGCUUGCAAUUUUGAUUAUAUUCUACAUAGCUUACUUCAAUGUCUUGUUGCCAUGUAAAAUAGUACUAAAUCAGCUUCAAUUUUCUGCAUAAUUAAAAUAACCAUAAUAGUUCAACAUGGAAGCAUGCCAAGUUCAUUUGUAGGAGACGUUUUCAAAUAUUGCUGAGAAAAAUUACAUUUAAAAAAUUCCCAUGUGAUUGAAAAUGGAAUAAUACUCUGAAAAUGUGCACACAUACAUGUUCAAGUCUUUAAGGAGAUAAAAGAGUCAGUGCUCUCUUGUGUUUACUCUGCCAAUAUUUAAUACAGAUGAUAGCAUCCAUUCCUCUUUCCUUAUUAAAUGCUAUCCUUAAUCUCAAUCUGAAUUAUCAUUGUACACUCCAAAACAGGAUAAAUUCAGGACUCCUGAUAGUGAUGCAUGACUGUGGUGUUUCAUAUCGUGGUGCCUACUAUGAUGCUGCUGUAGAAAGAUGUGGUUUUCCAUUUACUGAGCGCUUAAACUUUGUAGAAACUUUGCAGGCAUUUGUCUGCUUAAAUAUGUGCCAAAUAACCACUGUUGUUCUGUUUUUAAGAUGUAACUCUAAAAAAAGUUAACAAGAUAUAUUCCAAAACACCUUGCAUGCUUUGUUUUCCCUUUUAAAUUAUUCUCAAUUGUGUUAUCUCUCCAUCUCAAUAUCACAAUGACAUAAGGAUCUGCUUUGGCUGUCUGUAAUGUGUUUUUUUUUAUUAUUAUUAUUUUAUUUAAUGCAUUUAGAAUGACCUUCUACGUCCAUUAAAUUAUAUAUGAUCUAGUUUCUUGGCAGGGCCAUUUAUGAUCAUUUGUCUUAGAUUUUAUGUAUUGCUUUUCAUUGUUGAUCUCAGAAAUUGUCUUACUUACACUGAAUAAAAAG